GGGGUUUUGGCGGCGGCGUGCCUAAUACAUGCAAGUCGAGCGGACAGAAGGGAGCUUGCUCCCGGAUGUUAGCGGCGGACGGGUGAGUAACACGUGGGUAACCUGCCUGUAAGACUGGGAUAACUCCGGGAAACCGGAGCUAAUACCGGAUAGUUCCUUGAACCGCAUGGUUCAAGGAUGAAAGACGGUUUCGGCUGUCACUUACAGAUGGACCCGCGGCGCAUUAGCUAGUUGGUGGGGUAAUGGCUCACCAAGGCGACGAUGCGUAGCCGACCUGAGAGGGUGAUCGGCCACACUGGGACUGAGACACGGCCCAGACUCCUACGGGAGGCAGCAGUAGGGAAUCUUCCGCAAUGGACGAAAGUCUGACGGAGCAACGCCGCGUGAGUGAUGAAGGUUUUCGGAUCGUAAAGCUCUGUUGUUAGGGAAGAACAAGUGCGAGAGUAACUGCUCGCACCUUGACGGUACCUAACCAGAAAGCCACGGCUAACUACGUGCCAGCAGCCGCGGUAAUACGUAGGUGGCAAGCGUUGUCCGGAAUUAUUGGGCGUAAAGGGCUCGCAGGCGGUUUCUUAAGUCUGAUGUGAAAGCCCCCGGCUCAACCGGGGAGGGUCAUUGGAAACUGGGAAACUUGAGUGCAGAAGAGGAGAGUGGAAUUCCACGUGUAGCGGUGAAAUGCGUAGAGAUGUGGAGGAACACCAGUGGCGAAGGCGACUCUCUGGUCUGUAACUGACGCUGAGGAGCGAAAGCGUGGGGAGCGAACAGGAUUAGAUACCCUGGUAGUCCACGCCGUAAACGAUGAGUGCUAAGUGUUAGGGGGUUUCCGCCCCUUAGUGCUGCAGCUAACGCAUUAAGCACUCCGCCUGGGGAGUACGGUCGCAAGACUGAAACUCAAGGAAUUGACGGGGGCCCGCACAAGCGGUGGAGCAUGUGGUUUAAUUCGAAGCAACGCGAAGAACCUUACCAGUCUUGACAUCCUCUGACAACCCUAGAGAUAGGGCUUUCCCUUCGGGACAGAGUGACAGGUGGUGCAUGGUUGUCGUCAGCUCGUGUCGUGAGAUUGUUGGGUUAAGUCCCGCAACGAGCGC
rnacentral:rRNA from 1 species